UUGACCAUAUAUUAGAACCCCCCUAGAGAUAGAGUGGUGCCUUCGGGGAGCUUUUUAUACAGGUGCUGCACGGCUGUCGUCAGCUCGUGUCGUGAGAUGUUGGGUUAAGUCCCGCAACGAGCGCAACCCUCGUCACUAGUUACUAACGGUUCGGCCGAGGACUCUAGUGAGACUGCCUUCGUAAGGAGGAGGAAGGUGAGGACGACGUCAAGUCAUCAUGGCCCUUACGGCUAGGGCAACACACGUGCUACAAUGGUUGGGACAAUGAGACGCAAUACCGCGAGGUGGAGCAAAUCUAUAAACCCAAUCUCAGUUCGGAUUGUUCUCUGCAACUCGAGAACAUGAAGCUGGAAUCACUAGUAAUCGUAGAUCAGCUAUGCUACGGUGAAUACGUUCCCGGGUCUUGUACUCACCGCCCGUCACACCAUGGGAGUUGAUUUCACCCGAAGCGGGGAAGCUAAACUGGCUACCCUCCACGGUGGAAUUAGCGACUGGGGUGAAGUCGUAACAAGGUA
rnacentral:rRNA from 1 species